rnacentral:rRNA from 1 species
CACGUAGGGUGCGAGCGUUGUCCGGAAUUAUUGGGCGUAAAGAGCUCGUAGGCGGUGUGUCGCGUCGGCCGUGAAAACCUGCAGCUUAACUGUGGGCUUGCGGUCGAUACGGGCAGGCUGGAGUUCGGCAGGGGAGACUGGAAUUCCUGGUGUAGCGGUGAAAUGCGCAGAUAUCAGGAGGAACACCGGUGGCGAAGGCGGGUCUCUGGGCCGAUACUGACGCUGAGGAGCGAAAGCGUGGGGAGCGAACGGG